rnacentral:rRNA from 1 species
UACGAAGGACCCGAGCGUUAUCCGGAUUUAUUGGGUUUAAAGGGUGCGUAGGCGGAUUUGUAAGUCAGUGGUGAAAGCCCAUCGCUCAACGAUGGAAUUGCCAUUGAUACUGCAAGUCUUGAGUACAUUUGAGGCGGGCGGAAUGUGUCAUGUAGCGGUGAAAUGCUUAGAUAUGACACAGAACACCAAUUGCGAAGGCAGCUCGCUAAACUGUAACUGACGCUGAGGCACGAAAGCGUGGGGAUCAAACAGG